rnacentral:rRNA from 1 species
ACAUGGGUAAUCUACCAUCGAGUGGGGAAUAACCAGCCGAAAGGCUGGCUAAUACCGCGUACGCUUCCGGGUUUUCGGAUUCGGAAGGAAAGCCAUACCAUGGGUAUGGCGCUCUUUGAUGAGCUCAUGUCCUAUCAGCUUGUUGGUAGGGUAACNGCCUACCAAGGUUUGAAA